CACCAUGUAAAUUGUUCUGAUCUCAUAGAGAGCAUCAUUUGCUGAAAUGAAGGAAGGAAGCUUCUUGUCUACCAAACUCAUCACCAACUCCUAAAGAAAUAAAAGUUAGCUGCCUCAGCCCCAAUAAUUUAAAGAACUGAAGCCCAUGGAUUCUUCUUUUUAUGCCUUGGGUACCAGCAGUAGGAUUAGUGGAGAUCUAAUCAUCAUUUGGACCUUCAAGUGACCUCAGAUUCCACUGUUGCUGGUUUCAGAGAGCUUUAAUGGAGAGGUGAGCACAUGUGAGAUGAGCAAUCCUCACAAGAUCACAUAGAUGUCAGUGCAAGGACAUGAGCCUCACAUGCCCCUUUAUCUCUCUACUGUCCCACAGUAAUUUCUUGGGGGCUGUACAGUCCUGACAAUGAUGCUGAUAAACAAAGCUUCAGCAAUGGCAGAAGGAUGGGGUCAGACCUGCCUACAUUGCAACAAUAAUUUAUCAUUUAAUGCACCAGAGAUUAAGUUUGCACAUUAUGUCACACAUUUAGGACAUUAUGUUUGAAACACUAUCAUUAUCAAACAUCAUUUCAGGAGUCUAUAUAUAAAUGUAAAUUCUUAAAAGAAAAGGCAACUAUAAUAUUAUAUCCUUUGAGGAGUUGGAAGAGUAUGGAGCAAAGGAAACAUAUCAACCACUUCUCAUGGGUAACUACCAAUCUUUAACUCUACAAGUCAUCUCAUGGAAUCAUCAAAGAUUGGCUGGCAAACUAAUCAUUAAAGUUGGGUCUGAGACUUGGGUGGAUAGCAGGUAGAAGUGCAUCCAAAGCUUUCAACCAUCAUAUCCCAUUUUGGAUAUGGUUGUGUGAGAGUAGCAAGGAGGACUGUUGGGUCCCAAUUUCUCCUCCAAGUCAAUGCUUGAGAGCAACAACAGCUGAAACAACUCAGUUCCUGGAUUCCAGCUCUCAUGAUGCAAGGCAUGCAUCCAAAGCUGCUGCUCCUAUGCAGCAAUUGUCACACCCCAUGUUUGCUGCCAUGGUGACAGUCUCAAGACAUCAGGUGAUCUGUUGCUUUAUGGGGACCCCCCUAGACCAUCAUCUUCUUCCUUCUUUCACUGUGCAAAAUGAGUGCAGAGAAGUAGACACACUGUUCCUUUCAUCAGUCACUUUAGAGAGCACUAACAGAAAAGUUAAGAGAGAGAGAGGAGAAACCUGCACAUCUUUGUGGUCUCUUGCGUUAACAGUUCUUCCAGUCUUGGCUUCCUUGCCAAGGUUGCAUUGCUCCAUUUGCCAUUUCUUCACUUCCAAGCUAAGAUUAAGCUUAGGUUUUGCCCUUCUACUAGUAGGGUUGGCAGUGGAAUCACACAAUUGGUUUGUCUGGAUCUUCCUUCAAAUCAAAUAAUUCACACACACA
rnacentral:lncRNA from 1 species